GACGUAGGGCGCGAGCGUUGUCCGGAUUUAUUGGGCGUAAAGAGCUCGUAGGCGGCUUGUUGCGUCAGCUGUGAAAACCCGCAGCUCAACUGCGGGUCUGCAGCCGAUACGGGCAGGCUAGAGUUCGGUAGGGGAGACUGGAAUUCCUGGUGUAGCGGUGAAAUGCGUAGAUAUCAGGAGGAACACCUGCGGUGUAGACGGCUUACUGGACCAUAACUGGCGCUGAGGCACGAAAGCGUGGGUAGCAAACAGG
rnacentral:rRNA from 1 species